rnacentral:rRNA from 1 species
GUCUUUUUGAUUAUAAUUUAAAGUCUGACCUGCCCAAUGAAUUUUUUAAAUGGCCGCGGUAUUUUGACCGUGCAAAGGUAGCAUAAUCAUUAGUUUUUUAAUUGAAAGCUGGAAUGAAUGGUUGGACGAGAAAAUUACUGUCUCAGUUUAAUUUAAUUAGAAUUUUAUUUUUAAGUUAAAAAGCUUAAAUUUGUUUAAAAGACGAGAAGACCCUAUAGAGUUUUAUAUUUAUUUAAUUAAUAUUUUUUAUAAUUUUUUAUAAUUAAUAUAAUAUUUUAUUGGGGUGAUAAAUAAAUUUAAUUAACUUUAUUUUAUUAUUUACAUUUAUUUAUGAUUUGUUGAUCCAUUAUUUAUGAUUAUAAGAUUAAAUUACCUUAGGGAUAACAGCGUAAUUUUUUUAGAGAGUUCAAAUCGAAAAAAAAGAUUGCGACCUCGAUGUUGGAUUAAAGUUAAUUUUUGGUGUAGCAGCUAAAAUAUUGAGUCUGUUCGACUUUUGAAACUUUACAUGAUCUGAGUUUAAACCGGUGUGAGCCAGGUUGGUUUCUAUCUUUAAAAAUAUAAAAUAUUUUAGUACGAAAGGACCAAGUAUUUAUAAAAUUUAUUUAAUUUAGAAUAA